rnacentral:rRNA from 1 species
CCCUCCACGGGAAUACGUAGGGUGCAAGCGUUAAUCGGAAUUACUGGGCGUAAAGCGUGCGCAGGCGGUUAUAUAAGACAGAUGUGAAAUCCCCGGGCUCAACCUGGGAACUGCAUUUGUGACUGUAUAGCUAGAGUACGGCAGAGGGGGAUGGAAUUCCGCGUGUAGCAGUGAAAUGCGUAGAUAUGCGGAGGAACACCGAUGGCGAAGGCAAUCCCCUGGGCCUGUACUGACGCUCAUGCACGAAAGCGUGGGGAGCAAACAGGAUUAGAUACCCCCGUAGUCCCUGUCUCUUAUACAC